GGAUGGGUGGCAGAACGGUCAAUGCAGCGGUCUUGAAAACCGCCGAGGGCUUUGUCCUUUGUGGGUUCGAAUCCCACCCCAUCCGCCA
rnacentral:tRNA from 1 species